UCUUCCAAAACCUUCCCGCACCUGUUUUUGAGUCAUAAAUUUUUUUCUUGGAUUUACCAAAAUCAUUGUUUUUGUGACAACUCAUCCCCUGCCUAUGAAAUCCAAAGUCUUGAUACAGUGUAAUAAUUCGUUGUAAGGGGGAUCUAUGAUUUUGUGAACAUGCUGAGGGAACUGAAAAACAGGUGCGGGAAGGUUUUGGAAGA
rnacentral:misc_RNA from 1 species